AAUAAAGUGGCUGAGUUUAGGCGGUAGAUUGUAAAUCUAAGGACAAGUUUUGACUUCUUUAUUA
rnacentral:tRNA from 1 species